GUACCCAUAGCUCAGCUGGUUAGAGCAUCAGAUUGUGGUUCUGAGGGUCGCCGGUUCGAACCCGGUUGGGUACC
rnacentral:tRNA from 3 species